GGAAGUGACAUGAAAAAUUCUGAUCAUCACUGAACUAAGAUGCUUAGUACCAGACUGGAUAUACGAAAGAAAUGAAUCAAGAGUUCAAAUGACGACAACACUUUUUUUCUUCAAGACAAGGGUGGCUCCGUGUAGGCCAACGAGCAAGGACAGCUCGGUUGGUUGCGCCCUGCACUGUCGGAGGGGGUGCCGUUUACAAUGUGGCAUGUGAUCCAGAGCACUUCCCAGUGAGAGAGCUACCUUAUUGGAAAAGCAGAUUCAGAGAAGAUGACAAAGGGGAAAAUGCAUCUCUCUGCCAUUUCUUGAGUUCUUAUUCUUUCCCACUGACAACUAAUUGCAGGCUGACUGACUUUAGUAAGCUACCACAUGAUUAAAAAAUAUUAUUGAUCUAUGCAUGAUACUGGGAAAACUGGAUAUCCAUAAUGCAAAAGAAUGAAGCUAGAGUCUUACCUUGUACAAUAUAAAAAAUUAAUUCAAAAUGAUCAAGGACCUAAACACAAAAGCUAAAAAAACUGUAAGACUCCUAGAAGAGCACACAGGGGAGAAACGUCAUGACAAAAUUGACAUUGGAUCAAAUGACUUCUUGGAUAUGACACCACAAGUACAGGAAACAGAAGAAAAAUAGGCAAUCCCUGUAAAUGCGAUUGGACAGGAGCACAGACAUUCUCCCUCCAGCAGAAUCACAGUACCUCCAUUUUGGCAUGGGUCGCAUUUUCUCACGCUGAAUUCACUGAGGUCUGCAUAGGACCAGCAAGCUGAUAACCAACCCUCUCCCCUCCUGAUGCCAGUGCUCUAUCACACUGAAGGUUACCAAGUGCAGGAACACUAUCUAAAAGGCCAGGGGAACUCUUCUGGGAGAAAUAAGAAUACAGGCUCCUUUGCUUACUUCUGGGUUGCUGACCAGAUUUGAUAGGUUAACAGGAAACAGUUCAGUGGCAACUUUAAAAAGAAGAAACAGAAGGAGAAUAAGAAGUUGUCCUUGGGUGAAGUAUCAGGAUGGAAACUAUUCACCACUACGAUAAUUAUUAGCCAGAUUUCCACGGAGUAACUAGCCCCAGCAUGGCUUAUUUCAAGGUGUCAUGUGACGUCAUUGAAUGUGGAGAUGGAAAGAGAUUUGCACAUUCAGCCCCAGCACACCCCUGUUAUAAGAAGUCAACAGACUCCUGAAAAUCCAUGUGUCCAGUUCAGCUUCAAAUGGUUCAAAAGAACAUCUGUUAUCUGACCAUCUAGUGCUGACAACUCUCCUGACCAAGAAAACUACAGCGACCUCUCUGCUCCUAAGGGGUGGGGAGGAGAAGAUAGUUGGGACUGAGUUCUUAUCAUGUGCCAGACCUACUGCAAAUGCCAACACACCGUGCCUCUAAAUGUGGACAUUAUUAUUCCUGAUGAAAAGACAAGGGACGUUCAGGGUCACUGAGCAGUGGGAGAUCUGGGAAUCAAGGCAAGGGCCCUUCACUUCUAAACCCUGUCUCCCUUUCCCUGGCCAUACCAUCCUUGAUUUACAUACACUCUUGGUGGAACUCACUAAAAAAUAAUGCGAAUAUUGUACAAAGAAAUGACUAAAGUCCUAUGGAAACCAUCGGAACGGUUUUGCUAUUUCCUAAAGAUGAUAUUCCUCUUCCCUACAUGAGCUUUUCACCCAGAACCCAGCUUGGAAAGUAUGUUCCUAGAGAAAUAUGUUGCCGGCAAGUCCUCUGCCUCCACCACUCAGCCCUCUUUAAGUAAAUUGUGAAAUUUCCGUUAAUGCAGAAGUAGAACUACUUCUCAGCAGAAAUGCAUAACUUGUGUUUGUGGUUUAUGUUGGUGGCAGAUGUGAUUUCCUUCAUAAAAUCUUAGAACUGGAAGGAAGUGAAGAGACUGUCAUAAGGUCCCACUCAUGCAUAACAAGGGCAGUUGAAGCCUGAAAAGAGUUAAUGAUUUGCCCAGAAUCUUAUCAGAAAUAAUAAUACAAGUCAAUAUUAAUGAUGAUGCCAAGAGAGUAACUAUUGUGUAUUGAGAAUCUAUCAGAUAAUAUGGCCUUCGUAAUAGACUUGCUGCGUAUUAUAUGUUAUCUCUAUUUUCAAAUGGGAUGUCUGAAGCUCAACAGGUGAGGCAAUUCACACAAAGCCACACAGUUAAUAGGUAGCAGAUCCUGGGUUCAAAUAGUUUGACCCCAAGGUUUAGGCUCUUGACACCAUGUCUCUAUAGUGUGGGCUCAUCAAGAUAAGCAAAACUGAAGUGAUUCGGUCUAAUUUUCCUCAAACCUAAAUCAGAUAUAUCCUGAUAUAUAAAGUGAGGGGUAUUCCCUUGGCAUAAUCAUGGGGGAUGGAUUUAUGUCAGUGGUGAUGUCACAGCCUGAAACCAUUUUGGAAUUCCUUUCUAUGUGGUAACUUGCAGUAUGUUUUGUUUUGUUUUUUAUUUGUAAAAUAUUCACAUAAUUUUUUUUGUUAUUGAAAUAUAGUUGACAUAAAUGUUAUAUUAAUUUAAGGUAUACAACAUAGUGAUUAAGCAAGUCUGUAUAUUACACAAUGCUUACUACAGUAAGUGCAGCUAUCAUCCGUCACCAUACAAUACUAGUACAAUAUUAUUCACUA